UUAAGCGACUAAGCGUACACGGUGGAUGCCCUGGCAGUCAGAGGCGAUGAAGGACGUGCUAAUCUGCGAUAAGCGUCGGUAAGGUGAUAUGAACCGUUAUAACCGGCGAUUUCCGAAUGGGGAAACCCAGUGUGAUUCGUCACACUAUCAUUAACUGAAUCCAUAGGUUAAUGAGGCGAACCGGGGGAACUGAAACAUCUAAGUACCCCGAGGAAAAGAAAUCAACCGAGAUUCCCCCAGUAGCGGCGAGCGAACGGGGAGCAGCCCAGAGCCUGAAUCAGUAUGUGUGUUAGUGGAAGCGUCUGGAAAGGCGCGCGAUACAGGGUGACAGCCCCGUACCAAAAAUGCACAUGCUGCGAGCUCGAUGAGUAGGGCGGGACACGUGGUAUCCUGUCUGAAUAUGGGGGGACCAUCCUCCAAGGCUAAAUACUCCUGACUGACCGAUAGUGAACCAGUACCGUGAGGGAAAGGCGAAAAGAACCCCGGCGAGGGGAGUGAAAAAGAACCUGAAACCGUGUACGUACAAGCAGUGGGAGCACGCUUAGGAGCACAGAGCAAUCUGUGUGACUGCGUACCUUUUGUAUAAUGGGUCAGCGACUUAUAUUCUGUAGCAAGGUUAACCGAAUAGGGGAGCCGAAGGGAAACCGAGUCUUAACUGGGCGUUAAGUUGCAGGGUAUAGACCCGAAACCCGGUGAUCUAGCCAUGGGCAGGUUGAAGGUUGGGUAACACUAACUGGAGGACCGAACCGACUAAUGUUGAAAAAUUAGCGGAUGACUUGUGGCUGGGGGUGAAAGGCCAAUCAAACCGGGAGAUAGCUGGUUCUCCCCGAAAGCUAUUUAGGUAGCGCCUCGUGAAUUCAUCUCCGGAGGUAGAGCACUGUUUCGGCAAGGGGGUCAUCCCGACUUACCAACCCGAUGCAAACUGCGAAUACCGGAGAAUGUUAUCACGGGAGACACACGGCGGGUGCUAACGUCCGUCGUGAAGAGGGAAACAACCCAGACCGCCAGCUAAGGUCCCAAAGUCAUGGUUAAGUGGGAAACGAUGUGGGAAGGCCCAGACAGCCAGGAUGUUGGCUUAGAAGCAGCGAUCAUUUAAAGAAAGCGUAAUAGCUCACUGGUCGAGUCGGCCUGCGCGGAAGAUGUAACGGGGCUAAACCAUGCACCGAAGCUGCGGCAGCGACGCUGAUGCGUUGUUGGGUAGGGGAGCGUUCUGUAAGCCUGUGAAGGUGUGCUGUGAGGCAUGCUGGAGGUAUCAGAAGUGCGAAUGCUGACAUAAGUAACGAUAAAGCGGGUGAAAAGCCCGCUCGCCGGAAGACCAAGGGUUCCUGUCCAACGUUAAUCGGGGCAGGGUGAGUCGACCCUUAAGGCGAGGCCGAAAGGCGUAGUCGAUGGGAAACAGGUUAAUAUUCCUGUACUUGGUGUUACUGCGAAGGGGGGACGGAGAAGGCUAUGUUGGCCGGGCGACGGUUGUCCCGGUUUAAGCGUGUAGGCUGGUUUUCCAGGCAAAUCCGGAAAAUCAAGGCUGAGGCGUGAUGACGAGGCACUACGGUACUGAAGCAACAAAUGCCCUGCUUCCAGGAAAAGCCUCUAAGCAUCAGGUAACAUCAAAUCGUACCCCAAACCGACACAGGUGGUCAGGUAGAGAAUACCAAGGCGCUUGAGAGAACUCGGGUGAAGGAACUAGGCAAAAUGGUGCCGUAACUUCGGGAGAAGGCACGCUGAUAUGUAGGUGAAGUCCCUCGCGGAUGGAGCUGAAAUCAGUCGAAGAUACCAGCUGGCUGCAACUGUUUAUUAAAAACACAGCACUGUGCAAACACGAAAGUGGACGUAUACGGUGUGACGCCUGCCCGGUGCCGGAAGGUUAAUUGAUGGGGUUAGCGCAAGCGAAGCUCUUGAUCGAAGCCCCGGUAAACGGCGGCCGUAACUAUAACGGUCCUAAGGUAGCGAAAUUCCUUGUCGGGUAAGUUCCGACCUGCACGAAUGGCGUAAUGAUGGCCAGGCUGUCUCCACCCGAGACUCAGUGAAAUUGAACUCGCUGUGAAGAUGCAGUGUACCCGCGGCAAGACGGAAAGACCCCGUGAACCUUUACUAUAGCUUGACACUGAACAUUGAGCCUUGAUGUGUAGGAUAGGUGGGAGGCUUUGAAGUGUGGACGCCAGUCUGCAUGGAGCCGACCUUGAAAUACCACCCUUUAAUGUUUGAUGUUCUAACGUUGACCCGUAAUCCGGGUUGCGGACAGUGUCUGGUGGGUAGUUUGACUGGGGCGGUCUCCUCCUAAAGAGUAACGGAGGAGCACGAAGGUUGGCUAAUCCUGGUCGGACAUCAGGAGGUUAGUGCAAUGGCAUAAGCCAGCUUGACUGCGAGCGUGACGGCGCGAGCAGGUGCGAAAGCAGGUCAUAGUGAUCCGGUGGUUCUGAAUGGAAGGGCCAUCGCUCAACGGAUAAAAGGUACUCCGGGGAUAACAGGCUGAUACCGCCCAAGAGUUCAUAUCGACGGCGGUGUUUGGCACCUCGAUGUCGGCUCAUCACAUCCUGGGGCUGAAGUAGGUCCCAAGGGUAUGGCUGUUCGCCAUUUAAAGUGGUACGCGAGCUGGGUUUAGAACGUCGUGAGACAGUUCGGUCCCUAUCUGCCGUGGGCGCUGGAGAACUGAGGGGGGCUGCUCCUAGUACGAGAGGACCGGAGUGGACGCAUCACUGGUGUUCGGGUUGUCAUGCCAAUGGCACUGCCCGGUAGCUAAAUGCGGAAGAGAUAAGUGCUGAAAGCAUCUAAGCACGAAACUUGCCCCGAGAUGAGUUCUCCCUGACUCCUUGAGAGUCCUGAAGGAACGUUGAAGACGACGACGUUGAUAGGCCGGGUGUGUAAGCGCAGCGAUGCGUUGAGCUAACCGGUACUAAUGAACCGUGAGGCUUAACCUU
rnacentral:rRNA from 1 species